rnacentral:rRNA from 1 species
CAACUUUCAACAACGGAUCUCUUGGUUCUGGCAUCGAUGAAGAACGCAGCGAAAUGCGAUAAGUAGUGUGAAUUGCAGAAUUCAGUGAACCAUCGAAUCUUUGAACGCACAUUGCGCCCUUUGGUAUUCCAAAGGGCAUGCCUGUUCGAGCGUCAUU